rnacentral:rRNA from 1 species
UACGUAGGGUGCAAGCGUUGUCCGGAAUUAUUGGGCGUAAAGAGCUCGUAGGCGGUCUGUCGCGUCGGCUGUGAAAACCCGGAGCUCAACUCCGGGCCUGCAGUCGAUACGGGCAGACUGGAGUUCGGCAGGGGAGACUGGAAUUCCUGGUGUAGCGGUGAAAUGCGCAGAUAUCAGGAGGAACACCGGUGGCGAAGGCGGGUCUCUGGGCCGAAAUUGACGCUGAGGAGCGAAAGCGUGGGGAGCAAACAGG